GAUUUCCUGAAGCGAGCUGCCUUUUUCCCAGAGGAAAAAAAUAUAAGAAAUCUGACAAGCAACGCUACAGGUGAAGGAGCUCGAGGUGAACCAGUCACAGAUGAAGCUUCUGAUGAAGACUAAUAUAUACUUCAAUUUUAAUCAAACUUGGAUAAUAAUGUAAAUAUGUUUGAUAAUAAAAUCACAAAAACAAUCAAGUGUGUGUACCUAGCGUUUAUUUAAAAUACACCCUAUGUUGGACGUAAGUAAAACUUUUGUAGGACGUUCUAGAAUGUUUAAAAUGUUUGCUGCACAUUCUUUCAACGUCUACAGGCGAUUUUGGACGUUCUUAAAAGGUUCUAAAUACGUUCUUAAAAGGUUUUCUGGACGUUCUAAAUACGUUCUUAAAAGGUUUUCUGGACGUUCUAAAUACGUUCUUAAAAGGUUUUCUGGACGUUCUAAAUACGUUCUUAAAAGGUUUUCUGGACGUUCUACGUUCUUAAAAGGUUUUCUGGACGUUCUUAAAACGUUUAGAAAACGUUUUAUAAACGUCCAUUUGGACGUUUUAAAAACGUCCAAAACCUUCCACAAAUGGACGUUUUAAAAACGUCCAUUUUGGACGUCCAUGAAACCAAUUGGAAACGUUUU